ensembl:snRNA U1 U1 spliceosomal RNA
AUGUUUACCUGACAGAGAAAAUAAUGUUCUGAAGAGGGUUUUGCCAGAACGAGGCUUUUCUAUUGCACUCCCCCACGUACUGAUCCUCGCGUUUUGCCCAACUGUGAAAAAUUCGACUGCGUAGCUUGUGUUAGUGGGGGACUGCGCAGGGCUCUUCUCUU